CUCUGUUUUUGCCGUUCUCCACAAAACACAAUGCGGACGUUCAACUCUACUGCGCACCCAGGUGGCAACAGACUACGAGGUAGUCUAAUGGUGCGCUCGAGAUGCAUCGUUCACCACCCGCACAAGUUGGGAAAUUUCCCAGCCUUCUUGCAACAUCUCAUUACCAUUCAAGCAUCUCCAAUCUCCAAAAUAGUGAUUGCAGCUUCCGUGUUUUUCUUUGGGAACGACCCUAACAGUGCCUGCAGUGAAAUGUGAUGCAGAUGCAACGGAGAUCAGCAGGAGCAACUGGAUUGAGAAAAUCCAGAAGGAAGCCAUUGUGCCCGAAUCUCUCCUCCAGAGUACUUGCGUACCAUAAGCAGUACUAAAGCAUCUUAUACCUUCAGCAUCAGUCAAUGACCCACCCACAACAUACCAUAAGGGAAUGUUUGACACAUCUGGUGCCAAGUCCAUCUGCCUUUCUCAAAAUUGUUGAUAACUGGUUUUUCUGCUACUAUAAAGGGUGUAUAAGCAGGAAACAAUUGGAGGAUUUGAAUUCUUACAGGAAAUCUUGAGCAUUUAUAAAAACGUGUCUGUCUACAUUAUUACUAAGUAACAAUCCUUUGUGAGCUAUCAUUUUACCGGUAAGAAACUUGCUUGGGAAUUCAACCCAUUCAUCAAGUCUAACCCAUUAGCACUAGGAAGACAAACAAAUGUCCUGAUCGCAGUACGAUCUAAGAUUUUUCAUGGCAUGAGCAUGCUUAGGAACAUGAGCACACUGGAGAGUUUUUUUUUAAUGUAUGUAUUUAAUGUUUGUAUUUAGUGUAGUGUUGCAUCAGACUCUAGGGUCAAGUACUAACCUUGUCUUCCCCAGACUGUAGGAUCAAAUAAGGUCACAUCGUUCACCCUUAAACGGUAAAGUAUAGCGUUUUUACCUAAAAG